GACGGAGGGCGCGAGCGUUGUCCGGAUUUACUGGGCGUAAAGAGCGCGCAGGCGGCUGGUCAAGUCCGAUGUGAAAUCUCCCGGCUCAACUGGGAAACUGCAUUGGAAACUGAUCGGCUUGAAGGUGGGAGAGGGUAGCGGAAUUCCCGGUGUAGUGGUGAAAUGCGUAGAUAUCGGGAGGAACACCAGUGGCGAAGGCGACUACCUGGCCCAUUCUUGACGCUGAGGCGCGAAAGCUAGGGGAGCGAACGGG
rnacentral:misc_RNA from 1 species